UACGUAGGGUGCGAGCGUUGUCCGGAAUUACUGGGCGUAAAGAGCUUGUAGGUGGUUUGUCGCGUUGUUCGUGAAAUCUCACGGCUUAACUGUGAGCGUGCGGGCGAUACGGGCAGACUAGAGUACUGCAGGGGAGACUGGAAUUCCUGGUGUAGCGGUGGAAUGCGCAGAUAUCAGGAGGAACACCGGUGGCGAAGGCGGCGUUCUGGACACCAACUGACGCUGAGACGCGAAAGCGUGGGGAGCAAACAGG
rnacentral:rRNA from 1 species